GAUGAACGCUAGCGAUAGGCUUAACACAUGCAAGUCGAGGGGCAGCGAGGGUAGCAAUACCUGUCGGCGACCGGCGCACGGGUGAGUAACGCGUAUGUAACCUGCCCGCAACAGGGGGAUAACCCGGCGAAAGUCGGACUAAUACCGCAUAAAACAGGGGUCCCGCAUGGGAAUAUUUGUUAAAGAUUUAUCGGUUGCGGAUGGGCAUGCGUACCAUUAGGUAGUUGGUGAGGUAACGGCUCACCAAGCCCUCGAUGGUUAGGGGUUCUGAGAGGAAGGUCCCCCACACUGGUACUGAGACACGGACCAGACUCCUACGGGAGGCAGCAGUGAGGAAUAUUGGUCAAUGGGCGAGAGCCUGAACCAGCCAAGUCGCGUGAAGGAUGACUGCCCUAUGGGGUGUAAACUUCUUUUACAAGGGAAUAAAAUGAGAUACGUGUAUUUUAAU
rnacentral:rRNA from 1 species